rnacentral:rRNA from 1 species
ACUCAAAUGAAUUGACGGGGGCCCGCACAAGCGGUGGAGCAUGUGGUUCAAUUCGACGCAACGCGAAGAACCUUACCUGGGCUCGAACGGCUGGUUAACGAUCGUGGAAACACGGUUACUCCGCAAGGAGGUCCAGUCGAGGUGCUGCAUGGCUGUCGUCAGCUCGUGUCGUGAGAUGUUGGGUUAAGUCCCGCAACGAGCGCAACCCUUGUCCUGUGUUGCCAUGGCGCAAGCCGGAACUCGCAGGAGACCGCCAGCGAUAAGUUGGAGGAAGGUGGGGAUGACGUCAAGUCCUCAUGGCCUUUAUGUCCAGGGCUACACACGUGCUACAAUGGCCGGUACAAUACGUCGCUAACCCGCGAGGGGGAGCCAAUCGCAAAAAACCGGUCUCAGUUCGGAUUGCAGGCUGCAACUCGCCUGCAUGAAGCUGGAAUCGCUAGUAAUGGCAGAUCAGCACGCUGCCGUGAAUACGUUCCCGGGCCUUGCACACACCGCCCGU